AGAGUUUGAUCAUGGCUCAGAACGAACGCUGGCGGCAUGCCUAACACAUGCAAGUCGAACGAGACCUUCGGGUCUAGUGGCGCACGGGUGCGUAACGCGUGGGAACCUGCCUUUAGGUUCGGAAUAACUCAGAGAAAUUUGAGCUAAUACCGGAUAAUGUCUUCGGACCAAAGAUUUAUCGCCUUUAGAUGGGCCCGCGUUGGAUUAGCUAGUUGGUGGGGUAAAGGCCUACCAAGGCGACGAUCCAUAGCUGGUCUGAGAGGAUGAUCAGCCACACUGGGACUGAGACACGGCCCAGACUCCUACGGGAGGCAGCAGUGGGGAAUAUUGGACAAUGGGCGAAAGCCUGAUCCAGCAAUGCCGCGUGAGUGAUGAAGGCCUUAGGGUUGUAAAGCUCUUUACCCGAGAUGAUAAUGACAGUAUCGGGAGAAUAAGCUCCGGCUAACUCCGUG
rnacentral:rRNA from 1 species